rnacentral:rRNA from 1 species
GACGAACGCUGGCGGCGUGCUUAACACAUGCAAGUCGAACGGAAAGGCCCCUUUGGGGGUACUCGAGUGGCGAACGGGUGAGUAACACGUGAGUAACCUGCCCUUGACUUCGGGAUAACUUCAGGAAACUGGGGCUAAUACCGGAUAGGAAUCCUUGCUGCAUGGUUGGGGUUGGAAAGCUUCGGCGGUUUUGGAUGGACUCGCGGCUUAUCAGCUUGUUGGUGGGGUAGUGGCUUACCAAGGCUUUGACGGGUAGCCGGCCUGAGAGGGCGACCGGCCACAUUGGGACUGAGAUACGGCCCAGACUCCUACGGGAGGCAGCAGUGGGGAAUAUUGCACAAUGGGCGGAAGCCUGAUGCAGCAACGCCGCGUGCGGGAUGACGGCCUUCGGGUUGUAAACCGCUUUCAGCAGGGGCGAAGCUUGUGGUGACGGUACCUGCAGAAGAAGCACCGGCUACUACGUG